rnacentral:rRNA from 1 species
ACCAAGGCGAUGAUGCAUAGCCGAGUUGAGAGACUGAUCGGCCACAUUGGGACUGAGACACGGCCCAAACUCCUACGGGAGGCAGCAGUAGGGAAUUUUCCACAAUGGACGCAAGUCUGAUGGAGCAACGCCGCGUGAGUGAAGAAGGUUUUCGGAUCGUAAAGCUCUGUUGUUGGUGAAGAAGGAUAGAGGUAGUAACUGGCCUUUAUUUGACGGUAAUCAACCAGAAAGUCACGGGCUAACUACGUGCCAGCAGCCGCGGUAAGU